AUUGAACGCUGGCGGCAGGCCUAACACAUGCAAGUCGAACGAACUCUUCGGAGUUAGUGGCGGACGGGUGAGUAACACGUGGGAACGUGCCUUUAGGUUCGGAAUAACUCAGGGAAACUUGUGCUAAUACCGAAUGUGCCCUUCGGGGGAAAGAUUUAUCGCCUUUAGAGCGGCCCGCGUCUGAUUAGCUUGUUGGUGGGGUAAUGGCCCACCAAGGCGACGAUCAGUAGCUGGUCUGAGAGGAUGACCAGCCACAUUGGGACUGAGACACGGCCCAAACUCCUACGGGAGGCAGCAGUGGGGAAUCUUGCGCAAUGGGCGAAAGCCUGACGCAGCCAUGCCGCGUGGAUGAUGAAGGUCUUAGGAUUGUAAAAUCCUUUCACCGGUGAAGAUAAUGACUGUAGCCGGAGAAGAAGCCCCGGCUAACUUCGUGCCAGCCGCCGCCGUAAUAC
rnacentral:rRNA from 1 species